GCGUGAGUGAUGAAGGCCUUCGGGUUGUAAAGCUCUUUUGGCGGGGACGAUGAUGACGGUACCCGCAGAAUAAGCCCCGGCUAACUUCGUGCCAGCAGCCGCGGUAAUACGAAGGGGGCAAGCGUUGUUCGGAAUUACUGGGCGUAAAGGGCGCGUAGGCGGCUUACCAAGUCAGGCGUGAAAUUCCCGGGCUCAACCUGGGGGCUGCGCUUGAUACUGGUGAGCUUGAAUGCGGGAGAGGAUAGUGGAAUUCCCAGUGUAGAGGUGAAAUUCGU
rnacentral:rRNA from 1 species